CAACAAGUUCCAUAGCGCUGUACAGUGGGUGGACUAACUGACAAGUAAUUUGUAACCAGACGAGUUGGACACAUAGGAACAGAGGAAUUGAGGGCCCUGCUCAAUGAGCUUACAUUCUAGAGGAAGUGGGGGUAAUGUGACACAAAAGGUAAGAGUAGGGUAGAAAAGUAGGUUGCUAGGAUAGUGUUCAUUGAGGGCUUAGUGUUUUGUUUUGAUGACAGUUGCAGGAGCGGAGUCAGGGUGCGGGGAGGGAAAGUUGUUCACAGUUUAAUUGAUAUGCUUUCAUAAAAAAGUACGUUUUAAAAG